rnacentral:rRNA from 1 species
CGGACGGGUGAGUAACACGUGGAUAACCUACCUAUAAGACUGGGAUAACUCGGGAAACCGGAGCUAAUACCGGAUAAUAUAUUGAACCGCAUGGUUCAAUAGUGAAAGACGGUUUUGCUGUCACUUAUAGAUGGAUCCGCGCCGCAUUAGCUAGUUGGUAAGGUAACGGCUUACCAAGGCAACGAUGCGUAGCCGACCUGAGAGGGUGAUCGGCCACACUGGAACUGAGACACGGUCCAG